rnacentral:rRNA from 1 species
UGGGGAAUUUUGGACAAUGGGCGAAAGCCUGAUCCAGCAAUGCCGCGUGUGUGAAGAAGGCCUUCGGGUUGUAAAGCACUUUUGUCCGGAAAGAAAUCCUUGGCUCUAAUACAGUCGGGGGAUGACGGUACCGGAAGAAUAAGCACCGGCUAACUACGUGCCAGCAGCCGCGGUAAUACGUAGGGUGCAAGCGUUAAUCGGAAUUACUGGGCGUAAAGCGUGCGCAGGCGGUUUGCUAAGACCGAUGUGAAAUCCCCGGGCUCAACCUGGGAACUGCAUUGGUGACUGGCAGGCUAGAGUAUGGCAGAGGGGGGUAGAAUUCCACGUGUAGCAGUGAAAUGCGUAGAGAUGUGGAGGAAUACCGAUGGCGAAGGCAGCCCCCUGGGGCCAAAUACUGACGCUCAUGCACGAAAAGCGUGGGGGAGCAAAACAGGAUUAGAUACCCUGGUAGUCCACGCCCUAAAACGAUGUCAACUAGUUGUUGGGGAUUCAUUUCCUUAGUAACGUAGCUAACGCGUG